GGAAUUUUCCGCAAUGGGCGAAAGCCUGACGGAGCAACGCCGCGUGAGGGAUGAAGGCCUCUGGGCUGUAAACCUCUUUUAUCAAGGAAGAAGAUCUGACGGUACUUGAUGAAUAAGCCACGGCUAAUUCCGUGCCAGCAGCCGCGGUAAUACGGGAGUGGCAAGCGUUAUCCGGAAUUAUUGGGCGUAAAGCGUCCGCAGGCGGUCUUUUAAGUCUGCUGUUAAAGCGUGGAGCUUAACUCCAUUUCGGCAGUGGAAACUGGAAGACUAGAGUGUGGUAGGGGCAGAGGGAAUUCCCGGUGUAGCGGUGAAAUGCGUAGAUAUCGGGAAGAACACCAGUGGCGAAGGCACUCUGCUGGGCCAUAACUGACGCUCAUGGACGAAAGCCAGGGGAGCGAAAGGGAUUAGAUACCCCAGUAGUC
rnacentral:rRNA from 1 species